CCAAUAGCGUAUAUUAAAGUUGUUGCAGUUAAAAAGCUCGUAGUUGAAUUUCGGGAUCAAUUUAUUGGUCGUGCUAUUGUACGUACUGGUAUUAUUGAUUCCUACCUUCUGACGAACCACGAUGUCAUUAAUUUGGUGUCAUGGGGAAUCAGGACUGUUACUUUGAAAAAAUUAGAGUGUUUAAAGCAGGCUCACGCUUGAAUACAUUAGCAUGGAAUAACGAAAUAGGACGUUUGAUUCUAUUUUGUUGGUUUCUAGGAUCGACGUAAUGAUUAAUAGGGAUAGUUGGGGGCAUUAGUAUUCAAUUGUCAGAGGUGAAAUUCUUGGAUUUAUUGAAGACUAACUACUGCGAAAGCAUUUGCCAAGGAUGUUUUCAUUAAUCAAGAACGAAAGUUAGGGGAUCGAAGACGAUCAGAUACCGUCGUAGUCUUAACCAUAAACUAUGCCGACUAGGGAUCGGAUGAUGUUAAUUUUUUAAUGACUCAUUCGGCGCCUUACG
rnacentral:rRNA from 1 species